UACGAAGGGGGCUAGCGUUGCUCGGAAUUACUGGGCGUAAAGGGCGCGUAGGCGGCACUGUUAGUCAGGCGUGAAAGUCCUGGGCUCAACCUGGGAACUGCGCUUGAUACGGCAGAGCUAGAGGAUGGAAGAGGCUCGCGGAAUUCCCAGUGUAGAGGUGAAAUUCGUAGAUAUCUGGAGGAACACCGGUGGCGAAGGCGGCAUCCUGGACCGGCAUUGACGCUGAGGCGCGAAAGCCAGGGGAGCAAACGGG
rnacentral:rRNA from 1 species